rnacentral:lncRNA from 1 species
AAUACAGUGAAACCUGUCCAAACCGAACACCCACGGGACUUUGCCUUUUGUUCGGUUUUCACAGGUGUUCGGAUUGUAGAGGUAAACGGAAGUCGACACCAAAAUAAUUUUGGCAUUUACUGACAAGGGAUAAUAGGUGACAUAACAGACGACAGUUUAUUUUUGUGUUGAUUUAGAUGUAAAUGUAAAAAUAAAGAAGAUGAAGAUAGACGUUUUGCUACAUUUUUGUUUAUAAAUCAAACGCAACUCCGUCAAUCACGCUCGUCGUU